GCGAGUUCCCCUCGUUUGAUCCUCUCUCUGGUGAGGGAUCGUUUGGGGUGUUUACAAUCCCAAACCCAAUGUGAACGUUACCAAACUGUUGCCUCGGCGGGUUCACGCCCCGGGUGCGUCGCAGCCCCGGAACCAGGCGCCCGCCGGAGGAACCAACCAAACUCUUUCUGUAGUCCCCUCGCGGACGUAUUUCUUACAGCUCUGAGCAAAAAUUCAAAAUGAAUCAAAACUUUCAACAACGGAUCUCUUGGUUCUGGCAUCGAUGAAGAACGCAGCGAAAUGCGAUAAGUAAUGUGAAUUGCAGAAUUCAGUGAAUCAUCGAAUCUUUGAACGCACAUUGCGCCCGCCAGUAUUCUGGCGGGCAUGCCUGUCCGAGCGUCAUUUCAACCCUCGAACCCCUCCGGGGGAUCGGCGUUGGGGAUCGGGACCCCUCACACGGGUGCCGGCCCCGAAAUACAGUGGCGGUCUCGCCGCAGCCUCUCCUGCGCAGUAGUUUGCACAACUCGCACCGGGAGCGCGGCGCGUCCACGUCCGUAAAACACCCAACUUUCUGAAAUGUGGACCUCGGAUCAGGUAGGAAACCCGCGACUAGCCUUUUCCCCCCCCC
rnacentral:rRNA from 1 species